UGGGUGACUUUCACACUGAAAGUUAUUUAAAACCAAACGUCUUCACAAUGGUUCUGAUAAGGGAGCCUACAAAUGCGGUGCAACUUACAAGUAAGUUAUAUCAAAUUAAAAGUGAUAAGAUGACUAGUAAGAACAAAAACUAAAAAAAGUUAUAUCAAAAUAAAUACGAACUUUCAUUCUUGCUAAAUGUAAUUCGCUUUGUUGAGAGGAUGUGUUCACUUUGUGGAAGAGAUUAUCCAUUGGAGUUCAAAUUAUUAUUGAACUUCUUUUCGACUUAAUUUCCCUUUCAAGUGCAUUUCUUGGCCUUUUGCUAACUUGUAAGCUCUCUUUUUAAACCUUCAAAUCAACCCUUUAACUACUCUUUUCCUCAAUUCCUCACCAAGGGUAGCUUUGUUCUCUUGAGGUGUACUAUUAUGUAUAUACGAGGUCCCUUAAAACUUUCUCCCACUCAAACUUAACUUGCAUCCACUCUUCCGCAAUUUUUUUAAGACAAUCCAAAGUAAUAUAUAAAGCGUCCUCGUUUCAGCAGCUCUUGUUGCCAAUUGGGUACACAGCUGCAACAACUGUUCGUAUCGUUUUCCCAUCAUUGCCUUUGAAUCUUCAAAUUAAGUUUGUCCGUGCACAAGUAGUUGUACUCCCCUGAUUUGGCAUUGAUUGACCACCUUUUCAAUAUGUAAUUCUUCUCCGGACUCUAAUCACGUGGUUUAAGAAGGAAAGACUUUUAGUGCAAUGCAACAUAAUAAUCUACAAACUCAAUUUCUUACAACAACACGACACCAUAAUGAGUUGAUGAGUCAUAUGUAAUAGAACAAUAUGGUGUUUAUCCUUGCCAAAAGGACUAACAGUCAUAUUCAUUAUUGUUUUCAUUGUCACCAAGUCGAUUGAAAGUUGCAAUCAUGAGCUUUUCUGAGCUCCUUCUCAAACAGUUUGUAAACAACCUUGGGUGUAUAUCUUGCUGCAAUGCUUCAACAUUUUCUAUUGGAAAUGACAAAAUGAGUACUUUUGAAGUUUGCUCUAAAAUUAGCCUUUAGUUUUUCUUCAUAGCGGCGAUCAUCAACUAGCCUCUGCAUAAUGUUGGAAAACUGCAACAAAUCAUUAUUGUAGCUAAGCAUAUUUUUCCAUGUACACUGUUUUUCAUGCGCGCUCACUUGCGUUGGGGAUAGUAGUCAUUCAUGCACAAAAAGUCCUGUCUCCCAUAAACCAAUGCCCACUUUCUCCAUUUGGCUAAACAUUCGUUCAAAACCAAUCAUUUUUGAGAUUAUAUCUUUCAAGCAUCGCAUUCCAAGCACUAUAAAUUCAUCUUCAUCUUCAUAAUCGUGUAUGGCACUUACUGAAUUUUGAAAAAUUUGGGAAUAUUGCAAAUACAAACCACUUAGUUUUGAAGCCAGCCGCAUUUGGAUAAUGUGGCCAUAUGCACAACGAUGAUUGUUUCUGGCAUUGAGUCCCUAAUGCUUUUGCCAUCUGCUGAAUCUUGUCCGUACGAUAGUUUUUGUUGUCUUUCCAUUUCCACCCAUAGCCAUUGGCAAAGUAUCAACAGCCAUAUAAAAGAAUCAGCAUCCUCGGCAUACAAUAGUGCACAGAGGAAGGAAGCACCAAAACAGCGGUUUGCUUAUAGAUGGUUCAACCACACGACCCAGAAACAUUGCAAAAGGAAGGCCGGCCAUCUUUGUUCUUCCUAUAUGUCGUAUCAAAACUAACCACAUCCCCAAAAGUGACAUCAUCCGCCAUCAUUUUCGCAUCAGCCCCAAAAUAUUGGUUAGCAAAUCAUUCCUCAUCUACUUGAAUUGCAAAACGAAAUAGGAGCUUGUAGUUGCAUUUUUUGCAAAUACUUCAGAACCACCGCCGGUACCACCUAUUUUCAUUGCAACAGUUCGCUUUGAACGCAGUAAUUUUUUAUAAUCUUUCGGAAUAAAACCAGAUUCUUUCAACAACACGACCAACUUGUCUAGCCAGAAUCCAACUGUGUGGCCUUUGGAGCUAUCCCCACAAUCAUUUUCCAUGUCUGCUAUAGCUGCUUGGCACCUCCAAACUUCCUAUGAGACUUGUGUCAAUGGGUCUUACUUGGAGUAGAUACUAUUGUUAAUUGCACGGGAUUCAAUCCACACAUCAAAUUGUUCGGUUGGGCCUACAAUCUUUGAACCUUCAUCCAUGCCAAAACAACCGAAUCUCGUCUCAGGGCGGUGAGAUGUUUACAUAUGAAAUCGUCUAUCUUUCCUCCGUUUACCUUCGCAAGAGCAACAAAAUAUCCGAGUAACUAACAUUCCGCUCUUGAUCUUUAUACUCUUUACUUCGACGGCACACUAAAACCAACUUUGUAUGCAUGGCAAUGAAUAAAAUUCGUUAAGCUUCCUCUUUGGUCUUAAAUUUCAUAUGACGAUUGGAAUUGGCCAUCAUUGGAAAUUUGGGAGUGACCAAUUUAUAUCACCUAUUGCAUCUAAUGAAUUUCGGCAGUACUUGUUGGCUCACUCCUCUUCGAUAUGGAACAUUGGGGGGGUUGUUUAAAGAGUUAUCAUCUCCUUUAAACUUCCAACUUACGGCGAGAAGAUCGCAAUCAUCUCUUGCAUAAUUUCCAUCAAGGUCUAAAAGCUACAAUCAUGUUAAACAAAAAAAAAAUUCAAAUAUUUGCUCCAGUGGGAUGGAGUGCUCAUGGUGAUAUUUGCUUAUUUGGCUAUCUAAAUCUCCAUUCCUUUCCCUUCACGUAAGUGGCAUGGUAAAUCCGAUACUAUGUAAAAUACUUACCUCACAUGAGAUUGGAAGAAGAGUGAUUCAUCUCCAUGUUUUGUUCUCCUAUUCUUUGUAUCUUCUCCUCUCAAGACUAUGUGCAAUGUGGGUGAAAUAAGGGAAGCCAGAUGUUUCGUUUGAGAAUUGAGAAAAGAAGAGAGAGAUUUGAGCUGAAAUUUUAUAGGAACUUAUCAAUUUUCUGCUAUAUUAUCAGUGUUUUUUGAUAUGUCCUGUUUUUUGGACAUGUUCGUGGGGUGAAGUUUUUCGACCUUUCGAAUUUUUGUCACUAGACAUUCCGCGCCAAACAUGAUCAAAAGAUGUAAGAAAGGGAUCUGUUAAGGGUUUUUACUUGGGGAAUGUGAUGUGUGUUUGAAAUUGGGAUAGUGGAAAAUCUGGAUACAGGGGGUUGAGAAGUUAACGUGAAAGGAAAAAGUACGGGGAAAGAAACGGGAGCUACUGUGCAAAAAAUAGACCGAUGUCGAGCAAUUCACACUGGGACAGGGGAUGGGAUAGAAGAUUCUGGACAGGGGAUCCCCCCCCCUAGGAUUUUACCAUUUCUCUUUUUCUUUGAAAAUACUAGUUAUUCAUAAAAAAUUAAUUGUAAAAAUUACACAAAAAUAAAAGUAACGUGGCUGAAUUUAACAUUGGUGUGUGAGCCAUAUAUAUGAAUAAUAUCGUCCAAUUUAUAUAGUUUUUUUUUUUUGCAUAUUUUUUUUUAUAUAUUGUGACGAGAAAAAAAAUAUUUCUUUAUUCUCGAUUAAGAAGCUAUAGGAGAGCAACCUCCGCCAAAGCUGUCGCUUCAUACAAGUCUGGGCUCCGUCACCUUCACCUGGAGCUCGUACAAUAACCUUUAACGGGCUUUCCACGCCUGUGACCCGAGUUUUACUAUAAAAGGACAAUCUUUUACCGCUCAUAAUACGUAAUUCUGUCGGUCCUCUUCAUUUUCCUCUCUCUAAAACGAAGAGCUAAGAACUCCUCUCUCUUGGCUUUCUUUUUCUCUUUUCCUCUCUCUCCUAUUUUUCAAAAUCACGAACUUGAUUAUUAGCGAGCCAUCUCCGAAAUAGCUCCGGACGUCUUUCUUAACUAUUUCUCUCUUGUAACCAACCAAUCUAUUUAUAUUAGUUACGAGACACAGCUUUCCAACCACCACCGGAUCGAGUUUUUUUCCAUCCCUACUUGAUCUGUCUAUAGAAAUUACUAUAUAAAAAAAAAGACUUUGAUCGUUAUCAUGCGUCUUUUGACUGCUUUAGUUGUAUCCCAUGGUGUACGAGUAUCAUGUAUGUUUAAGGAAAAUUUAGUCACAAAGUACACUUGUAAAUAAAAAAGGUUACAUUUGCUGAAUAUUACAUCUUUUGUGUAAAAAUAAUUUAUAAUUUUAUUUUAAUACAAUUUGUGGUAAAUAUUUAUCUUAUUGGGAUAAUAUUAUUCCGAAGUGUAUUAUAUGCAUCAUGUUGGAGUAUGUAUUGUAGCCUAAGUUACUUCAUUGAUGUAAUGGCUUUUUAUUUUGUAGUAUGACCAACUGUGGCAGCCUUGCCUUUGCCUUGCCUCUUCUUCAAAAGUAGCUUUUUCUGUUUCGCAUUUUAGCUUUUUCUAUUUCGCAUUUUACACUUUAACAUUAGAAGUCUGUACAGACAAAUGAAAAAAACAAAGGUAAAUGAUGUAAAUAGUUCUUAUAGUUUUCAUCUUUGUAUUUACUUGGGUCUCUCAUGAUAAUUUUUUCCAAUGCAACCUCAUGUUUUCAAUUGAUUUUAUUUGAUUCUACUCAAGUACAAAUCAUUUCUUUCUGUCUAACUAUUUUAUUAUAAAAGGGGCUUUAAAUUUUCUAUUCUUUUGAUAUCGAUCAGGAUCCACACAAUUUGGAAGACACAUCUUGUAUUACUUUACCGAGUUUGAAUUCCCUACUGAUAUAAAAGACCGAAAACUUAAAGACAUAUUUUUUUUUAUAAUAAAAUAAACUUCGAAGUAAAUAUAUCUGUAAUUAGUAAAGAACCACCUAAACUAAACUUAAAAACUCAAACUCAAACUCAACUCAAAAACUCAAUCAAACAUUUAAGUAUAAUAUAAUAAAUUUAGUACACGAGGGAUCAAGGUAAGUCCUUAGAUAAAACUUUAUGAAUAUUUAGCUUAAUUUAUCUAUUAAAAAAAAAAUGACUGACCUGGACUAACAAACAGCCUUCAAAUAGUGAAGCGUGUGGCGAUGGUUCCAUAAUUAUUCAGUGCUCUUAGAGAUAAUUUAAAUAAUGUUUUAAUCUUAGAGUUAUUGGUUUAAACAGUUAGAAAAUAGUUGCUGUAGAGAUUUUCGUUGUUCAAAACAUUAUAACACAAACUUUAACUAUUGAAUACGGAGAAACAGAAAAAUCUGUUUCACUAUGUAAAUAGUUAGAAAUUUAUAUAUUUGGAUAUUGGUGAGUUUAGAGAUAUUGAUUAGAUAUCUAACAAUUGUGAUUAUAAGACUUAAGUAAUUCUAGUCUUACAUCUAUCUCUACCAAGUCCAACAUAUAUGGUUAUAUUUAUGAACUAUAUAUUAAUCUGAAGCAGACGUAAAUGGCGAACCACGUAACCUCUUCUGUAUCUCUCUAGUAAUUCUUCUAUUUCUAAUGCAUUAGUAGCUAAAAUCAUUCGCAUUAAUUUUUUAAAUAACUUGUAAACUGUCACAAUUUUUGUUUCUUUUUAUGAACAAAACCAAACUUUAAAAUAAAAAAUAAAAAUAUUAAAAUUCUCAAAAUUGGUUUUUUUAUAUAUUAUUAAAAUAAUUAAGUUUUAACAUUAGAGUGAAACUAAACAUAGUUUUGUAUAAUUUGAGGAGUCAAUUGACCGUGUUCUGGUCAUUAUUUAUCAUUUUAUUUGCCCACAAGAACGAGCCUUUUAAUUUAAAGUUAAAAUUUGUAAUUUCCUCGCAUCAUCUUAUUAGAGAAUCGAAGAAAAGGUAAAAACAAUAAUGUUUUUUAACCAGAAAAAAUUAAAAAUCCAAAGUAUAUCAGAAUACUCCAAUUUGAAUAAAUUUAGAUUUUAUUUAAUUUGUAAUUCUUGUACAAAUUCGAUUAAAAGAAUUGCUAGGAGAUUAGGUGUGAAAGGUAUAAUAACGAUAAAUUAUAUUUAUUUUUUUAUUUUUAGGAUAACAAAUUAUUCUUUAAGUUUAAUAUUCAAGUUGUCUAAUUUACACCUUUAACUUGAUAUUAUGGGUAAUUUAUAUUUGUGACAUUAUAUAUAGUCGAUGUUAAAUAUAGUUUUACUGUGGUAAUAUAAAUAAUUUCUUUCGGAAAAAUCAACCAUUAUGAACAUAUAUUAUAUUUAUAUGAAAAUAUAAUUUUUUUUGUUUAAUUUUAAAAAACAAAUCCACUAAAAACAAAAAAAUAAUAGUUAAUAUAUUGAAUAAAAAUAAUUUUUACAUAUUAAUUUAGUAAAUAUUUUUCAAAUCAGACGAUGAUUUUAUAUUUUCAAAUUCUUCUGGUCUAGGAAAACCAAAAAAUUAUAAAAUUCAAACGGUUAAAAGAACUUUACUGAAAUGAUUUUUUAAAAAAUAAAAAACGAGAUCUAAUCGACGAGUUAAUCAAUUCAUAUGUUGCAAAUUUUGAGCCACCUUGCACUAGUUAGACAGCAUAUAAACUUUUUUUUCCUAAUCUUUCGCCACUAAUCGAGAGUCGUAGUGAAUUUUGUUCAAUAUGCUGUUUUUUUUAAGGUUUACGCCUUUUUGUCUAAAGAAAAUAAAAAGUAUAUAAUUUUGAUUAAACGACAGAAAAUGUCACUAAAUGGAUUGGGUCGAGGAUUAGUGAGGACAAAAAAUAAAAAAGUUAGAGAAUUCACACUUUGUGACCGUAAAAUUCGCCGAACUUCUACUUUUCUUUUUCUCUAAAUCUUAUUAAGCAAACCUAAAACAAAACUCAAAUAUCAAAAUAAUUAUAGCAACCCAAAACAAAAUUACCCCCCAACAUGUCAGGACUUUUACGGUUUAUUAUUUAUAGAAUGAGAAAGUUGGUAUGGCCUGAUUGACGAAAGACUUGGAGGUCUGGUUCGGUCAAUAAACAGUUUGAACGGUUUACGAAUUGCGUCGUUAUUACUUCUUCUAAGAUACUUAUUAAGGUCUUCAGGCGUGAAGGCUAAAACCAAUAAAGGAGCCGUUUUGGGCUAUAGGUAAAGUUAAAUAAGCGAGUCUUAUUUAAAAUACGAUAAAAAUUAUGGGGGCCCCAGUUUAGUGGAACCUCUUUUUGAUUUUUUAUCUCUUCGUUUUAAAUUGUUUGGUCAAAAUUUUAUAUUUUUUUCUUUGUCUUGAAUAUAAGAGUCUGAAAAUGUUAAAAAUUUCAUCUAAUUUAAAAAAAAAAAAAUUACUAUAGAUAACAAAUACAACUUUUACUCUACAAAUUAGUUAUUUUUUUGUCGUAUGUGAAUUUUUAAAAGGAAAUGAACAAAAAAAUCUAAAAAUUAAAAAAAGAUAUUUAAACGGUGAAAGAAAGUUCACCAAAAUUUAAAAAAAUCAAAAAUCAAAACUAUUAAAAAAUCUCAAGAAACAUAGGAAAAACUGGGGCUAAGUUUUUUUAACUUCAAAUUUUUGUUUGGAAUAUUUGGAUUAUGGAUACAACUUAAAUAGUUUCCACACGACAACACACUUGUCACUUGAUAAUUUCAAAUAUAUAUGAUCGGGGGGGGCUUACUUAUUAAGUCACACACGUAACGAUACUAAAAUAUAAUACACAAAUAUGAUUUUUUAACGUGAUAAAUUUGUCAAGAUGAGAGAAAAAAUAUUGCACUACUGCAGUUGAUAAAGAAAUAACACAGAAUCAC
rnacentral:lncRNA from 1 species